GUUCUGAGGAAUUUCCUGAUCAUAGUAGCAGUGAGCUGCCUUUUUGCUGUGGUGCUGGUUCUGUUCUCAUUGAGAUAUUUCUGCAAAAGGAAAGCUGUGAAUGCUGUUAAGUGGAAUCAGGAGCAUUUCUACUACUCUGUUGAGGACAUUGUGCCAGUCACACAAUUUGCAGGUGACCAACAAAACACAAAGGAAAACGUCUACCACCUGGCAACCUUUCCAGGGGUCCAAAUCACAGACACCCAGCAGAGUGCGUACGAGGCCAUAUAUCCCCUGAAAGAACAGUCAACACCACAGGAAGGAAACCAGGAAGGAGUUGAACAGCUAUAUGCUCGUGUCAUAAAGCCAAAAGAAUAAACUCUGGACUUUGCUCUGACGUCAGUACUGCUCUAUUCCAACCUCCUGUUUUACUGUGUUGUUCUGUUGUCUAACUGGUUGUAACUUUCAGAGUUAUUACAGAGGCUACAGAGUUGUGUAAAAUGGUACACAGUGCUCAAAUUUCUCUUUUGUAUCAGUAUCUAAAAUUCACAGCUUCCUGUUAGAUCUAAUAACAUUCAGAAUAUUGACUCUUUUAUUUCUGUUUCAACUCACUGUUAUUUUGAAUUAGAUGUUGUUUGUGUGCAUAAACACCAAACAUGACUCACCUUAUCAGCUAACUAUUAAUACA